UACGUAGGGUGCGAGCGUUGUCCGGAAUUAUUGGGCGUAAAGAGCUCGUAGGCGGUCUGUCGCGUCUGCUGUGAAAACUCGGGACUUAACCCCGGGCCUGCAGUGGGUACGGGCAGACUAGAGUGCGGUAGGGGAGACUGGAAUUCCUGGUGUAGCGGUGAAAUGCGCAGAUAUCAGGAGGAACACCGGUGGCGAAGGCGGGUCUCUGGGCCGUAACUGACGCUGAGGAGCGAAAGCAUGGGGAGCGAACAGG
rnacentral:rRNA from 1 species